GGUAGCAUGGCCGAGCGGUCUAAGGCGCUGGUUUUAGGCACCAGUCCCGAAAGAGGCGUGGGUUCGAAUCCCACCGCUGCCA
rnacentral:tRNA from 1 species